rnacentral:rRNA from 1 species
UACAGAGGGUGCAAGCGUUAAUCGGAUUUACUGGGCGUAAAGCGCGCGUAGGCGGCUAAUUAAGUCAAAUGUGAAAUCCCCGAGCUUAACUUGGGAAUUGCAUUCGAUACUGGUUAGCUAGAGUGUGGGAGAGGAUGGUAGAAUUCCAGGUGUAGCGGUGAAAUGCGUAGAGAUCUGGAGGAAUACCGAUGGCGAAGGCAGCCAUCUGGCCUAACACUGACGCUGAGGUGCGCAAGCAUGGGGGAGCAAACAGGG